UACGAAGGGGGCUAGUGUUGUUCGGAUUUACUGGGCGUAAAGCGCACGUAGGCGGGUCGUUAAGUCGAGGGUGAAAUCCUGGAGCUCAACUCCAGAACUGCCUUCGAUACUGGCGACCUAGAGUCCGGAAGAGGUGAGUGGAAUUCCUAGUGUAGAGGUGAAAUUCGUAGAUAUUAGGAAGAACACCAGUGGCGAAGGCGGCUCACUGGUCCGGUACUGACGCUGAGGUGCGAAAGCGUGGGGAGCAAACGGG
rnacentral:rRNA from 1 species